AUAGAUCUUCUCAUUUAGGCUUCAAAGGGCCAAGGUGAGGAAGAACUGACAGGGUUUGGAGAGGCACGGUGCAGGCAGGGCUGCGGCUCUCGGCUUGGGGUGGGAGCACCACCCAGAGACCCACAGUGGCUCAUGUCCCCAUCCCAGCAUAGUGGCCGGGACAGAGCUUGGGUGCGGUGGCCACAGGGCAAGGAGGGGUCAGGACCGUGGCGGGUGCGGACCUUGGAGCCCUGCGUUCUCCAGCCGAAGACCCACUAGGCCCUGGGAGAGAAUAGUGCGUGUGUAUGAGUGUGAUUUUUGUGUGUGUAUUGUGUGUGUGUGUAUUGUGUGUGAGUGUGAUUUUUGCGCAAGUUGUGUAUUUGCGUGUGAGUGUGAUUUGGGGUAAGACUGUACUAUGUGUGUGUGAUUUUUGUGUAUUGUGUGACUUUUGUGCGUGUGUAUUUGUGAGUGCGAGGGUGUGUUGUGUGUGAUUUUUGUGUGAGUGUGUAUUUGUGUGUGAUUUUUGUGCGAGUGUGUACUGUGUGUUAUUUUGAGUGUGUAUUAUGUGUGUCUGAGUGUGACUUUUGUGUGAAUGUGUACUGUGUGUGUGCGCAUGUGUGGGCAUGUUCUCUGGCCCCUCCAGCCAUGGGUCUACCACUUGCCCCGCCCCACCCUUUCCCGACGUGCACACACAGACGUGCACACAUGUGUUACACACAGGAGCGUCUAAUUACUGCCUCACAGCAGGCGGGCGUCCGACAGCUGGGGCAGCCAGAGGACAUUCCAUUUUCGGUGAAGCCGACAACACUGGAAACCACCCAACUGGGGUGUGAGUGCACCCUCUCAGGAGUGACUUAGUCAAUGAGAGGCAGCCGGCCCGGGAGGGAGGCCUGUGUUCUGCUCCCACCCCACCCCCGCUCUGCCUCACACCUGCUGCCCUCCCUCCCUCCCGUCUGUCUCGCUCCCGCCUCUCUAAGGCUGCACCGACCUGGCAGACACACGCACCUGUCACCGGCCUCGCCUGCGCCCUGUCCCGUCCCACUGUCUCCUCUCCUCUCCACACCACCAGGGCCCCCGCCAGCUGCCAGGAGCCCCAGCACCAGCUGUGGGCGGGAUUCUGGCCGGGCAGCCUCCCUCUGGGAAUCAUCGGCCUAUUCCCUGGGUUCCUUCUUCCCUAAAGACAGUGCCUGGCCCCUGCUGUGGGCCAAACUGCCUGCACCCACCAGGUUUUGGGGUCUCAGGGUCACCUGCUUCCCCUCCCUAAUCCUGGCCUCUGCCCCACUUCUGGGAGACCCCUUUUUGAUCCCCAGCCCAACCUUGCUCAGGGACAGAACCACCCUCUGGGGUGCAGGGCUGGGCUGUGACACCUUGUUCUGCCUCCUGGGCUGUGCCCCUCCCCACAGGGGCCUCGCCAGGGCCAUGCCCGGCAUGGUGGGGAGGGGGCUAGCACCUCACAUCAGGGCAGGGCCAGUGUCCAUUGUGAGGUAAGGCGAUGAAGAUGAUGAUGCCCUCAGAAGUUGGCAAAGAGGCUGACACAGGCCAAAAGGGGUGCCAGGGGUGCAGGACGGGAGGUGGGUGUGAGGCACAGGUAACCUUGACCUUGAGGAAGGGGCAGUGGUGGCCGUGAACCUGCGAAUCCACGGAGAAGAAUCAGACGAGGGGCAGACAUGUUCGUGAACUUGCCUGAGUUCCCACGGCAACUAAGUGGUGGGGCCGGGGCCUAAGCCAAGGCAGCCUGGCCCCAUAGCCCCUGUGACUAACCACAUCCCACGUGGCUCACAGGGCAGACACCAGAUGUCCAUGAGAGAGUGGACCAGAACCUUGUGAGGCGUGGGCCCGAUGGAGUACUAUGCAGCAGUGAAAAAGAAGGAACCACAGAGCCAUGUGCACAGAGUGGAUCCCACUCACAAAUACGCCUCCCAGCCAACAAGCAAGCUCUCCAAGAUACCUGCUGUACCACACGCCAUAUCCAAAGCGUCAGAGCCUGCAAAAGCGUAUUACAUAGGCGUUUGUACAAAUAUGGUCAAAGUAUACAAAAUGUGUCACGAUAACGUUGUGGAGGUCUGUCGCACAACACCGCAAAUCCACUGAACACCACUGAACCGCGUGCUGAAAUGCUUAAGAUGGACCUCCCUCUGCCAUGGGCAGGGGUACUGAUUGGCUUCAAAAACUCCUGGACAGCAGAUCGUGAGCGAUGGUUUUGGGUGCAGUCCCUCCCUCAGAACACCCUCCUCGACCCUGACAGGCCCGGCUUCCUCUGGGCACUGAGGAAACACCCGAUGGACUGAGUGUGGUGGGCUUGGCAGGUGCGUAACUCGAUGCCCUGCAUGCAAAUGGUGCCCGUGAGAAGCUGAACCUUCAUCUCACAGGCUGAUGGCUUUAAGGCCCCAGCUGUUCUUCUUCCAGCCGACAAGGCGUUUAAAGCACCUACUAUGUGCCAGACGCCACGCUAGGGCAUGGCACAGGGCAGAUGCACUGUCCAGCAAGUUCGCUGCCUUGUGUGUGCCUUCCAGCGUGCCUGGAGUCACAUCAAGAGACGCUCCCAAUAUUGGCCUCUGCCCCCUGAGAGCUUGCACUCACACACUUAGGCCCUGAGAGGGAAAGGGAUUUUCCCUGAGUUACACAGUGAGGUCAUCCCUCUCCAAGGUGACACCCCUGUAGCUCCCUGAAAACAUCAGGCCUGGUUGGGCAGCCAGGAGGAGGGUGAGUGAGUGAUCAGCCAUGUAACUGCCUCCCACCGGCUCUCCCUCCCCCAGUGCAAGUUGCUAAAUCUUUCUGUGCCUCUCAGCUACCUCACAGGGAUGAGAGAGCUCAUUACAGUAAUGCCAGACAGGUUUUAUCCAAUGUUUAAUUUUGCAAGUGCUGACACGUGUUUAUUUAAACAUGUUAUUAAACACAUAGAAAUACCA